AGUGAACGCUGGCGGUAGGCCUAACACAUGCAAGUCGAACGGCAGCACAGUAAGAGCUUGCUCUUACGGGUGGCGAGUGGCGGACGGGUGAGGAAUACAUCGGAAUCUACUUUUUCGUGGGGGAUAGCGUAGGGAAACUUACGCUAAUACCGCAUACGACCUACGGGUGAAAGCAGGGGAUCUUCGGACCUUGCGCGAUUGAAUGAGCCGAUGUCGGAUUAGCUAGUUGGCGGGGUAAAGGCCCACCAAGGCGACGAUCCGUAGCUGGUCUGAGAGGAUGACCGGCCACACUGGAACUGAAACGCGGUCCAGACCCUGACGGGAGGCGGAAGGGGGGAUUUUUGGAAAAGGGGGGCAAGCUUGAACCAGCCAUACCGGGGGGGGAAAGAAGGCUUUCGGGUUGUAAAGCCUUUUUGUGGGGAAAGAAAAGCAGCAGGUUAAUACCCCGCUGUUCUGAGGGUACCCAAAGAAUAAGCACCGGCUAACUUCGU
rnacentral:rRNA from 1 species